rnacentral:rRNA from 1 species
AUUGAACGCUGGCGGCGUGCUUAACACAUGCAAGUCGAUCGGUAACAGGUGUAGCAAUACAUGCUGACGAGAGGCGGACGGGCGAGGAACGCUGGGGAAUCUGCCGAUCAGCGGGGGACAACCCGGGGAAACCCGGGCUAAUACCGCAUACGCUCUACGGAGGAAAGCCGGGGACCGCAAGGCCUGGCACUGAUAGAUGAGCCCAAGCCGGAGUAGCUAGUUGGCGGGGUAACGGCCCACCAAGGCGACGAUCCGUAGCUGGUCUGAGAGGACGAUCAGCCACACCGGAACUGAGACACGGUCCGGACUCCUACGGGAGGCAGCAGUGGGGAAUAUUGGACAAUGGGCGAAAGCCUGAUCCAGCGACGCCGCGUGGGUGAAGAAGGCCUGCGGGUUGUAAAGCCCUUUCGGUAGGGACGAAAGCUCUUGCCCUAACAAGGCAGGAGGUUGACUUAACCUACAUAAGAAGCACCGGCUAACUCUGUGCCAGCCGCCGCGGUAACAC